rnacentral:rRNA from 1 species
UACGUAGGGGGCAAGCGUUGUCCGGAAUCAUUGGGCGUAAAGAGCGUGUAGGCGGCUCGGUAAGUCCGCUGUGAAAGUCCAGGGCUCAACCCUGGAAUGCCGGUGGAAACUGUCGAGCUAGAGUCCGGAAGAGGCGAGUGGAAUUCCUGGUGUAGCGGUGAAAUGCGCAGAGAUCGGAAAGAACACCAACGGCGAAAGCACUCUGCUGGGCCGACACUGACACUGAGAGACGAAAGCUAGGGGAGCGAAUGGG